ensembl:lncRNA
CUCUCUCUCUCUCUCUCUCUCUCUCUCACCAAGGUUGCCUUCUCAGAAAACAAUUUCAUUGAAGGGAAGAACAUUCGGAUGGAACACUGUUUGAGAAUCCUGGAAGCUCUGGAGAAGAAUCAGCAGUUGUUUCGGAAACAAACCAAUUACCUUUACAGGCUGAUUGAAUGCACUGAAGUGGGACCUUCCUUUUACCAUAGAAAGGAAGCAGAUGAGGACGAGGAUGAGCUAGAGGACAGCCAGUGAGAAGAUGGCCUCAUUAUAAUGUAGUAUAUUCACAAUAUAGUAUAUAUGUGUAAUAUAUUAAUAUAGCAUGUGAGUGUACAUAUAUUCUUUAUCUUCAUUAUAAUAUAGUAUAUAUGUGUCUAUAUAUUAUUGUUUCGUAUACAGUGCUACUUGAAUGUUUGUGAACCCCUUGCAGAAUCUGUGAAAAUCUGUGAAAAGAGAUCAUACAAAAUGCAUGUUAUUUUUUUUAUUUUUAUUUUUUUUAUUUAGCACUUUUACAUUUAGUCCACAAGACAAAAAAAAUAGCUGACAUUAUUCAAAUAACCCCAUUCAAAAGUUUGUGAACCCUUGGUUCUUAAUACUGUAUGUGGUUACCUGAUGAUCCACGGCUGUUUUUUUGUUUUGUUUUGUGAUGGUUGUUCAUGAGUCCCUUGUUUGUUCUGAACAGUUAAACUGAGCACUGUUCUUCAGAAAAAUCCUUCAUGUCCUGCAGAUUCUUCAGUUUUCCAGCAUCUUUUGCAUAUCUGAACCCUUUCAAGCAGUGACUGUAUGAUUUUGAGGACAAUUGAGGGACUUAAACACAACUAUUAAAAAAGGUUCAAACAUUCACUGAUGCUCCAGAAGGAAACACGAUGCAUUAAGAGCCGGGGGGUGAAAACUUUUGGAAAUUUGGAAAGAUCAAGGUAAAUUGUGCUUAAUUUCUUCUGUUGCUUCUGAAGGGCAGUUCUAAAUGGAAAUAUAUAGUAUAUUUCUACAAAAUAAGAAAAAAAUUGGACAUCUUCAUCCUGUUCAAAAGUUUUCACCCCCUGGCUCUUAAUGCAUCGUGUU